UACGUGGGGUGCGAGCGUUAAUCGGAAUUACUGGGCGUAAAGCGUGCGCAGGCGGUUCGUUGUGUCGGCGGUGAAAGCCCCGGGCUCAACCUGGGAAUGGCCGUUGAAACUGGCGAACUGGAGUGUGGCAGAGGGGGGUGGAAUUCCGCGUGUAGCAGUGAAAUGCGUAGAGAUGCGGAGGAACACCGAUGGCGAAGGCAGCCCCCUGGGCUGACACUGACGCUCAGGCACGAAAGCGUGGGGAGCAAACAGG
rnacentral:rRNA from 1 species